GGAGACUUGGUCAGCUUCUCAUUAUCCUGUUCUCCAUCAGGAGCUUCUUCUGCAGGCAAACACAGCAGCACAAAAGAAAAAAGAAGAGUUUCUUCACUGGAAAAGGCUCUGUGUGGAGUAUGGAUGAGACACAAUCUGGCAACACGACCUUUCUGGGUUCUGCAGUUGAGCCAACAGAGGGCUCUGCUCAUUUAUGGCCAAAGUUUUUUUAUGUAUUGUAUUGGUAGAUAGGUGGUCUGUCUUUUCUUAUGCUGCUCAGUUUUCAAGUCUACAGCAGACUGGUACUGAACUUUUCAUCCUCAGUCACAGAAGAGCUGAGUGGUAUGUGAGAUAUUUAAUCAGAUAUUAAGGAACAGUUUUGCUGUUCCUGUAUUUAUGUUACUAUUGCAGGAUUCAUUAUGCACAACAGAAGGCAAAUGUCUCAAUCUCAUCAAACUUGUUCUUCAAUCUGCUGGCUGCACACUGUGCAAAAUUGUAUUCUAGAAGUGGAUUAGCUAACUGUGUGACUUAAAAACUUCUCAGUUACUGUGCUCUGCACUUUUUAAGAUGUCACAGCUCACUGCACCCAUAUGGUACUUA